CUGACCCUUUGGCAUUUGAGGUUCGGCUCUCAGAACUGUGUGCUUUGCAAUACUAACAACAGCAUUCUCCAGGGUGAAAGCUGGAGUAGCAGCUGGAAUGCCAGUAGUGGCCUUCGUUAUUGAAGAGACUUUGAGGACCCAAAAUUGUGGGAAGCACUGGAAGAGAUUGAGAGGAAGGCGGAGUAACAACAGUUGCAACUUGAAAUGGCAAUCACAUAAGCUUUUCUAUUUCUGUUCCUGUACUGCUUAGUCAUUCGGACACCCCCAGUGGAAUUUAUUUGUUCGUUGUAAAUUUUGAGAUAAUACGCUUAAUUAGUGAAAUUGAGGGCCAUAACGAGAAAAUUUUACAGAUGUGAAAUUGAUUGUUUGGAAUUGGCAAGCAGCAAGGUGGGAUGAGAUUAUACUUAGUUGUAGGUCCUGGUGGUUAAAGUAAAUUCACAAUGUAAGUUUCCUGUAAAAUUCGGGAAUUUGAUCAUAAUUAAGAUCCUCGUGAUAAACCAUUCAUUUAGUUCA